rnacentral:tRNA from 1 species
UCCCUUGUGUCUCAGCUGGUAAAGAAUCCGCCUGCAUUGCGGGAGACCUGGGUUCGAUCCCUGUGUUGGAA